UUAGUGUCUAUACAGGCAACAAUGGAGAACAUCGAUACUGUACCACAUGCAAAACGGGGCAAAAUGACGCACUCAACAACUCAAGAACUCAACAAUCUGACUGCAUAGAUCCAAACUUUGAGGUUCAAAUGCCCGACUAAUAUCCGACGACAAGAAGGAAUCAAUACAAAAGGAGGGCGUUAGUGACGCCAUUAUACCAGACUGUGGACCUUUUCCAAGGUCCGACGAACAUUCAUGGAAAGCAAAAUCCGAUACAGCCCUACAGGUCAAUAGAACGGUGUAUGAGGCAUACUAUCCUAGAUGUAUAGGAUGGCAUCCUAAACAGGAACCUUCAUCCACAGCGUCUGGCAUGGUGAAGACCUGAGAUGGGACGCGAGCAUCCAGGUUCUGAAAUGUCUUUAUGGUUGUGGACCGAGACCGAUAGACCAGUUCAAAUUAAUAACACGGUAUAUGAGGUGGAUACCCCACAAUGUAGCCGAGACAAUGCACUGGACAAAAACAUACACAGGGUUUGGUGUGGUGAAGACCUGAGAUGGAACACCACCGUCCAGGGACUGCGUUGUUUUUUGAUACAAACCCCUAACUUUUAAGCAUACCAUUGCCAUGUAUCCCUGUACUUGGUUUAAGCUAAGUUUUCAGGUUAUGGACCCUUUUUAAAUGAUUCGAAAUGGAGGAAGCAGAACGGAAGCGAGUCUAGAAAUGAAAGUUUGAUGGAGGAGACAUAUUUAAGUGAAUUCACGCCUGGUAACAAACGGGGCAUGAUAAUGUAUUCUGGACCAGAUUCAAAAUGGCAGACAUUUAUUCUACACUAUGUGAGACUGACGGAUGUGGUGAGAAGCAAAUAAAGAAGAUGAAUACAA